rnacentral:rRNA from 1 species
UACAUGGGGGUGCAAACGUUGCUCGGAAUUAUUGGGCGUAAAGCGCACGUAGGCGGUUCGUUAAGUCGGAUGUGAAAGCCCUCGGCUCAACUGAGGAAGUGCACCCGAAACUGGCGUGCUUGAGUACGAAAGAGGAUCGCGGAAGUUCCCGGUGUAGAGGUGAAAUUCGUAGAUAUCGGGAGGAACACCGGUGGCGAAGGCGGCGAUCUGGGUCGAUACUGACGCUGAGGUGCGAAAGCGUGGGGAGCAAACAGG